rnacentral:lncRNA from 1 species
CAACCAAGAAAUACUAGAAAAUAAAACGAAAACAACCAGGCAAUAAAUUUUAUCAGAAAAAAUAAAAUUUUGCCGGAGCAAUAAUUUUGUUGAUUGAAUUUAACAUUAACGGGGAAGAGAGGGAGAUAUGGCGUGACUUCAAAGACAUUGUCGAGCAGCACCUAAAACACAAAAAUCGAUCAGAUCUGAGCACUUUAGACGAGUAUGAUGGCUCUAUUACUAGAGGAAAGAGAAAAAGGAGAGCGGCAUCAUGGUCAACCAUGACUGUUCCGAAGCUAACCAUUGUCGCCGAAGCUCGAAGCAGAUAAUUGGAGAGAAUCAAAGACAUGGAUUUUACCCAAAUAAUUACAACAAAAAAAAUUAAACCUAAAAGAAGAUUCACAAC